CCCGCACAAGCAGCGGAGCGUGUGGUUUAAUUCGAUGUUUACACGAAGAACCUUACCAGGGUUUGGACAUGCAAGUGGUAGGAACCGAAAGGUGACCGACCUUCGGGAGCUUGCACAGGUGCUGCAUGGCUGUCGUCAGCUCGUGUCGUGAGAUGUUCGGUUAAGUCCGCUAACGAGCGCAACCCUCGUCGUGUGUUAUACGUGUCACACGAUACUGCCGGUAUCAAGCCGGAGGAAGGUGGGGAUGAUGUCAAGUCAGCAUGGCCUUUGUAUCCUGGGCUACACACACGCUACAAUGGCAGAUACAAUAGGUUGCGAAACCGCGAGGUGGAGCCAAUCCUCAAAGUCUGUCUCAGUUCAGAUUGUAGGCUGCAACUCGCCUGCAUGAAGUUGGAGUUGCUAGUAAACGCAGGUCAGCUAUACUGCGUUGAAUACGUUCCCGGGGUUU
rnacentral:rRNA from 1 species